rnacentral:rRNA from 1 species
ACACGUAGGGGGCGAGCGUUGUUCGGAAUCAUUGGGCGUAAAGGGCGUGCAGGCGGUCCUGCAAGUCCGGCGUGAAAGACCCCGGCCCAACCGGGGGGACGCGCUGGAAACUGCGGGGCUUGAGUACAGGAGGGGAUGCCGGAAUUCCAGGUGUAGGGGUGAAAUCUGUAGAUAUCUGGAAGAACACCAAUGGCGAAGGCAGGCAUCUGGCCAUGUACUGACGCUGAGACGCGAAGGUGCGGGGAGCAAACAGGUUUAGAUACCCUGGUAGUCCGCACAGUAAACGAUGUGCACCAGGUGGCGGGGGGUCGACCCUCGGUACCGUAGCUAACGCAUUAAGUGCACCGCCUGGGGAGUAUGCUCGCAAGGGUGAAACUCAAAUGAAUUGGCGGGG